AAAUUUUGAAUUCGCUUAUGAUAAUAGGAAGUUUGAUUAAAGGAAAAUAAAAUUGGAGGGAGUGUUAGCAUAAACAUUAGUGGGAACAAUUUCUGACUACUUUUGAAAAUUACGAGCUCUGUUGCUGCUGCUGUGCUGUGUGUAGCCGUUUCGAACUUAUUCCCUAUGCACAUUUUGGCCCCCUUCCUCUCUUUUCUUCCUCGUAAUUCGUGCACCUCGGGAAAACCCCACUUCUUAAACGCUCACAAAAAUCUUCAAAACAAAGAAAUAGUCUUCACUGUUUGAAAACUCAGUGUCUUUAAUGGUAGUACAGGACAAAUAAAGAAGAAAGAACAAAGCUUUAAGUUUUUUUUUUUUUUUUCAAGAAAAGAGAGAGAGAGAGUGAGUGUGUUAAAAUCAGUUUGACUAAGUAGGGUUUGUUUGGACCAACCUUCAAGUUCUUGGCUAUGGCAGUGCUGUUACUACAUUUUUCAGGCAGGUGGUUUUUUACUCAAGAAAGGUAUAGCAUUGAACACCCUUUUUCUCAUUUUGUAGUAAUUUGUGUUAUAUUCUUUCAGUUUGCUGUGCCUGUUGUUUGUUGAGCUUCUGAAAGUGGAUAGAAACUGGAAAAAGAUCAUUUCUUGAUGUUGUAUGGACUUGUUAUGUAACCCCUUUUUAUCUUUUUGUGUGUUGUAUUGCUUAUUUUGUCAAAUGGGAAGUUUGAGUAGCUUCUGUUGGUACUUUGAUGAUUGGAAUUCUCUGUAUAUACUUGAAGCUAUGCUCUUGUUGGCUGAAAGAUUGAAUCUUUUUUAACAAUUUAUUGCUCAGAGCAGCCAUUUACAUGAUGAAUAGAACUCACAGUAGAUAUAUAAGCUUGUUGAUAUUGUUGUGUAAUAUUGAUGUUGUGGUGUUGUUGCUCGGACUCUUUAAAAAUGUCAAUGGGUGAAUGUUGGAUUCUCCAAAAUAGUGUAUUUUUGGAGAUUCUGACACGCGUGCAGAAUCUAUAGUGAAGAGUCCGCGCAACUUAGGUUACUUCUUUCUGUCUUGGUGUGUUCAUUUUGUCAGUUUCAUCAAGUUCUAUUCCUGAAGGGGAAUUUAAGGAGCUUUUGUUCUGGGCUUUAACAUUUGUUUUCUUUUAUGUUGUAGCACUUUAUCCAAUUAGAGCUGUCUAUUUAUCCAUGUAUCUGCUGUAUAUACUUGAAGCUACUCUCUUGUAGGCUGAAAGAUUGAAUUUCGUUUAUGUAUUUUUGCUCAGAGCUGCCGUUUAUUAGUGAAUGGAACUCUUAGUAGAUAUAUAAGCUGGAUGAUUUGAAGUGUAACUUUGAUUAGGAUAUAAGCUGAAUGAUUUGAAGGUCUAAUUUAUGGACCGAACCCAACAUUUCUCGAUUUUGUAUGAACUUAUUGUGUUAACCUUUUUUUUUUCCUUUUUUAUGUGUUGUUUUGUUCUUUCAAAAUUGGUCUGCUCAGUUUGUUAAAUACCUGAAAGGAACACUGUAUCUCCUGUAUAUACUUGAAUCUACACUCUUGUAGGCUGAAAGAUUGACUUUUAAGAUGUCUUUUUAAACAUAUUUUGCUCAAAGCAGCACCUUAUGUAGUGAAUGGUACUCUUAAAUAAUCUGACUGAUGUAAAGCUCACUUCUUAUUUUGUAUCAACUUAUCGUAUAAUCCUUUUUUCUUUUCUUUUGAGGCGUUGUUUUGUUCUUUCUAACUUGAUGGCGGGUUCAUUUUUAUCAAAUGGAUAAAUUUUGAGGAGCUUCUGUUAGCUCUGACAUUUUAUUUUUCUCAUAUGUUAUGGCACUUUUCCAAUUAGAAUUCUCUAUUUGACCCGAUAUCUGUUGUAUAUACUUGAAACUACUCUCUUGUAGGCUAAAAGAUUAAAGUUCUUUACAUAUUUUGCUCAGAGAAGCCACUUAUGUAGUGACUGGAACUCUUAAUAAAUAUAUAAGCUGGAUGAUGUUAAAGAUAUGAUUUUGAGGUAGGAUAUCUUCUUCCCUGACCCCCUCCCUUCCCAGGGGAACCAAGAGAUCUGUUAUAAAAAUGAGCAACUUUGGAGCAGUAAGGUCAUAAUAGGAGGAAAGUUGAUUUUCUUUAGAAAAGUUGGAAGAAUUUCGUGUUUUUGUUAUUUGGAUAUUCACUCAUUAGCGAAUUCGAAGAAGGUGCUUACAGCUUUUGCACCCAAGGUAUUGGGUUUAUUCAAAGAUCUUGAUGAUACUAUUUCUCUCAAUUUCACUACAGAGAAUAUAAGAGUGCUUACAGCUGCAAAGGACUUCCAAUUUUCUUUAUCUGCAAGUCUAAUUCUAGAAUUCCUAUACUGGUAGUUAGAGGGAUAGACAGUUGAGUAAUCUAGCAUUCAUGAUCUUCCAAAAUUUUCCGGGAAUGAAAACAGGAGUUGAAAGGCAAGACUCGAGAGAAGAGGCAAAACAUAGUAUUCCUUUGCUCUUUGUAGGUGGAGACAGAGAACUAAACAUGUCUUUAUGAGAUGGUUGAUAACUAGAAUGCAGAAGGUUAUUUUUCGUCCACGUUGAAGAGGAAAAAGUUGGAUAAUCUGGAAAAGGCUCCGAAUUACUAGAGGUUUUCGAUAGAACAUAAAUGCCAAAGGCAGAAACCUCGUAUUGGGCGUAGAGUUGGAGAAAAAGGGUGUAUGGAUUUGUUGAGACUUGUACUUUCUUGAUGCUGGACCCAUUUAUUUUUCUUCUUGAAGAUAAAGCGUUAAUCCGUUUUCAACUGUUCAAUUGCUAUGGUUAUGCGAGACCCCAUGCUGUGUUCCUUUUGUCGAUUCCUUACUGUUCUUGACUUAUAUAUUGCAGGUUAGAUAGAGAAGUAGGAGUAGAGCUUGAUUCAGAAGUUUCGACGUGUUCAACAGUUAAACCUGGUUGAAUCUUCUGUUCCUUGUGUUUUUCUGGAACAUGUGAACUUUUGUAAGUACAUUGUUCCUUAAGUAGGGAAUGAAGCCAUCGGUCCGCGAAGCAUAUCAAGCUUUGUAUCAUAUUUUGACAAUAGUAGCAAUUAUUCAUAGUGGAUGAAGUAUUUUUUUUGCAUAUAUAAGCUACUCAGGUUUAUAUUUUCUGAGUUUUGACCAUUCAAUGAAAAUCUAAUGCUCAAUUAGCUUUAAAUG
rnacentral:lncRNA from 1 species